GGACGUAAUGUUUUGCAUUGGAUUGAGACAACGUACAAACCUUAUCGAUAAACAAUUGGAGGGCAAGUCUGGUGCCAGCAGCCGCGGUAAUUCCAGCUCCAAUAGCGUAUAUUAACGUUGUUGCAGUUAAAAAGCUCGUAGUUGAAAUGAAGGGUAGUUGUGUAAUGAAUACAUUCGUGUAUUUUGUUAUUCUACUACCCUCCUUCUAAAUUCGAUAUAUGAGUAUUAAUUUACUUGUAUAUGGUUUUAGACCUUUACUGUGAGAAAAUUAGAGUGUUCAAAGCAGGCAUUUGCUUGAAUAUAUUAGCAUGGAAUAAUCAUGUAUGAUUUUCAUGAUGUAUUUGAUUGGUUUGGUUCAUGAGAAUAAGAUUAAAAGGGACAGUUGGGGGUAUUCAUAUUCAAUAGUCAGAGGUGAAAUUCUCGGAUUUAUGGAAGAUGAACAAGUGCGAAAGCAUUUACCAAGGAUGUUUUCUUUAAUCAAGAACGAAAGUUAGGGGAUCGAAGAGGAUUAGAUUUACUCCCACCUACCCUCAUUGAA
rnacentral:rRNA from 1 species